rnacentral:rRNA from 1 species
CCGGGCGACCGGCGCACGGGUGAGUAACACGUAUGCAACCUGCCCUCUUCAGGGGGACAACCUUCCGAAAGGGAGGCUAAUCCCGCGUAUAUCGGUUUCGGGCAUCCGAGAUCGAGGAAAGAUUCAUCGGAAGAGGAUGGGCAUGCGGCGCAUUAGCUAGACGGCGGGGUAACGGCUCACCGUGGCGACGAUGCGUAGGGGUUCUGAGAGGAAGGUCCCCCACACUGGUACUGAGACACGGACCAGACUCCUACGGAAGGCAGCAG